rnacentral:rRNA from 1 species
ACAGAGGGGGCGAGCGUUAUUCGGAAUUAUUGGGCGUAAAGGGCGCGUAGGCGGCGCGGUAAGUCACUUGUGAAAUCUCUGAGCUUAACUCAGAACGGCCAAGUGAUACUGCAGUGCUAGAGUGCAGAAGGGGCAAUCGGAAUUCUUGGUGUAGCGGUGAAAUGCGUAGAUAUCGGGAGGAACACCUGCGGUGUAGACGGCUUUCUGGACCACUUCUGACGCUGAGACGCGAAAGCGUGGGUAGCAAACAGGA